CGAGAAUUACAGCAUAACACGCACUGCUGCUUCAUGGCACGACAUGAGGUGGGAAAAGCGGUCCGGUGCCCACUGCCCUGCUGCACCUGCUCCCUCUUAGGACUGAAUGCCCUACGAUCCCCACCAAAUGAGGAAGGACGCUAGAGGUUACAGGACUGGUCCCCGACCGCUCAGCCAGAAACAGGCUUUGAACCCUGCUGAACUCCGGUGGCACAGGCUGCGCAAGGCUUGCGUCUCCCUGGAAGGGCCACUCCUCUCUGGUCAGCGAAAUCUCCUCCCCGCCCAGGAAUCUGGACGGCCCCUGCCAUUUGCCUGGUUGUUCCCCUACCCGAGUGCCCUCGAUUUUCCCCUCUGGUCGGGGCAGGAGCGGCAGGGCUGGAUGCCAGGGCCCCAGGGGCAGGGAGGUGAGUGGGCACCACUCCUUCCCCCACGGGUAAGGUGGACAUCCAGCUUCGGACCACAUCACAGACGCCCAGGCCCCCAGCCACAGCCGGGAUCACUCAGCUGGGUAACGUCUCCACUUCCCAGCUGGGCCAGAACUUUUCCAUGCUGCCAGGACUUGCAAGAAAACAGCUGUCUGGCUGGAAGAUGCCCCUGAGAAGUUGGCCCACCUGGUUCUCUGCAGUCUCUGGGGUACCUGCCCCCUGACCUUCAGCCAGGUCCUGCCUCUCGUAUGUCCACUCAGGUGAGAAACCUGUCUAUAACCAUGUUUGUCUAGGACCAAACUUCGUCGUACACACAAAUGUGCACUGCACAAUUUUACUCCACCCUUUACCAGGAAUGCAAGGAUUUUGCCGAUGGAGGGGAGACUGCAUUGUGUUCAGAGCAGAGGUUUUCACGCUUUGGAAAACCAUAUCCCCAGUGGCCAAGUGGUGUCAGGUAGGUGAGUGCUCCAGGCGCCGCCCUGGGGCUGGGUGCCGCUGUUUGCUGUCAUGCCCACUGUGGGCCACUGUGGCAAGUAGAUGACAGCCCUGUUCUCUUCCCCGGGGCAGCAUGGAAAACCCAUUAUUUUAUAUUUAUGUUUAUUCAUUUCUGAUCAGCUGCAUAUUUCAGUUGGGGCAUUAUUGAAAAAGGUGUUUUGUAGGUUUUCAUGCAUUUCAUUUCAGGAUAGCAAUCGACAUAUAAAAUUAUGUGCUGUAAAGGAGGUUGAUCUGUGGGGUUGAACACUACCAGCAGGGCAGAUGCACCCUUGGGGCUGGUUGAAUGCUUUAAAAAAAUUUUUUUUAGCUCAGCCACUGCUUUUUUUUUUACAGCUUUAUUGAGGUAUAAUUAAUAUAUUGAAAUCUGGCCAGAUACAGUGACUCAUGCCUGUCAUCCCAGCACUUUGAGAGGCCAAGGUGGGUGGAUCAUUUGAGAUCAAGAGUUUGAAAACAGCCUGACCAACAUGGCAAAACCCCAUCUCUUCAAAAAAUACAAAAAUUAGCCGGGUGUGAUGGCACACACCUGUGAUCCCAGCUACUUGGGAAGUUGAGGUAUGAGAAUUGCUUGAACCUGGGAAGUGGAGGUUGCAGUGAGCCAAGAUCAUGCUACUCUACUCCAGCCUGGGCAACAGAGCAAGACCCUGUCUUAAAAAAAAAACUGCACAUAUUUAAUGCAUAAUUUGGUAAGUUUGGACAUAGGCAAACAGUCAUGAUACCAACACCAUGAUCAGGGAAAUCAACACAUGCAGCACUUCCAGAACACUCCCCAUGUCCCCAUUAUUUGUGGUAAGAACCACAUUAUUUGUGGUAAGAACACAGUACGAGAUCUGUCCUCAAAGUCUUUUUUUUUUUUUUUUUUUUUGAGAUGGAGUCUCGCUCUGUUGCCCAGGCUGGAGUGCAGUGGUGCGAUCUCAGCUCACUGCAACCUCUGCCUCCAGGGUUCAAGUGAUUCUCCUGCCUCAACCUCCUGAGUAGCUGGGAUUACAGGUGCCCGCCACCAAGUCUGGCUGAUUUUUGUAUUUUUAGUACAGACAGGGAUUCACCAUGUUGGCCAGGCUGGUCUGGAACUCCUGACCUCAGGUGAUCCAUCUGCCUCAGCCUCCCAAAGUGCUGGGAUUACAGGUAUGAGCCACCACGCCUGGGCUAUUUUUUAUUUUUAUUUUAUUUUGAGACAGUGUCUCACUCUGUCACGCAGGCUGGAGUACAGUGGUACAUUCAUAGCUCACUGCAGCCUCAAACUCCCAGGCUCAAGUGAUCCUCCCACCUCAGUCUCCCAAGUAGCUGGGACCACAGGUGCAUGCCUCCACACUGGGCUAAUUUUUAAUCUUUUUGCAGAGAUGGGGUCUCACUACUGCCUUGAACUCCUGGCCUCAAGCGACCCUCCCGCCUCUGCGUGAGCCACCUCACCCAGCUCCCAGUGAUGUUUUUACGUGAUUUCUUAAAAUUAGGAUCCAAAUAUUAUCCACGCCAUGCAUCUUGUGGUUCUGUUGCUUUUCCCUCCCUGGCCCCUUCCCCGCUUCCCCAGCCUACCCCACCCUAAGACAGCAGGGACACCCACUUUCCCUGUGCAAAGCGGCCUUCCCAUCUCCCAUCUGUGCAUCCAACCAAGAUUCGAGGAGCACCCACCUCGUGCUAAGGACUGGGGCACAUUCCUGAAGAUGACUCUGGUCUCUGCCCUGUGGACAGCAGAGUCUAGAGGAGGAGAGAGCAGAGACAAGCGUUAGAAAAAGAGUGUCUGAUCACUCCAGACUCUGCUGAGAGGUGAGGUGCCUCCCCCUGCCUGCUCCCUCCUCCCUGCACUGAUCCCUUCCUCCUGCCCCCAGCGGGCCACCUGGUUAAUUACCACUGCCUCCCAGCUUCUCCAGCUCCCACACCUCCGACUCCCCAGCCUAAGGGAGGGCUCCUUGGUCCCCUUCCUGAAUGAUAUUUACAAGCCAGCCACGCUGGGCUCCAGAAAGAGGAGGACUGUGGCAAUUUCCUUUUUAUCAACGAGGCUCAGAGCAGUCGGUAACAUACCCAGAGUCACCCAGAAAUGAACCCUCGGAGGCAGGAUUCAAACCCAACAGGGCCUCAGGGUCACGCUGUUUUUUCCCCUAGGGUUGAGAGAGCGGGAUCCGGGUGGACACUGGAAUUCCUCCGAGCUUAGAUGAGCUGUAUCAGGGUUCGGCAAACCAUGUCCCUUGGGCCAAAUCCCACGGCAGCCUGCUUUUGUGAAUAAAGUUUUAUUGGAACACAGCCACACCUGUGCAUUGAUAUGUUACUUAUGGCCGUUCUGUUUCUCCAAUGGCAGAGCCCAGGGGUUGCAACGGAGACCAUUUGCGCAAAAGCCAAAAAUCUUCACUAUCCAGCCCUUUACAGGAAAAGUUGGCCAAACCUUAUGCUAUAUGUUUAGCAGGAUAAAGAAAGAAAGAAACCUGUAGGAGCCUCUCUUCCCUAAAACCUAAAUUAUUUACAAUUUAAAUUUAAAGCCACUUUCAUUCAGUGGCCUAUUCUUGAACUGGCUCUGAAAAGGAUUCCUUGUUCUGGAAGGCAGACGGUGUGAGACUGUAGAGGUGAGAGUGAAAAUCUUAAGGCCCAUGUCUGAAUUCUAAGGAUAUGCUUCCCAAUCUGUGUGCAUUCCCUGCAUGAACUAUUCAAUUUAAAUUUUUAAAAAGAGGAAGAAAAUAGCCAUCUCCAUGGUUUUUCCUUCUCAUUGCUCCAAUUCCAUAACAACAAGCCCUCCAGCAAGCCUCAAUUUAUUCAAAUUCCCAAGCUGGGUUUGGAGGGGCGGGAGACAGAAAUCCUGUCCCCCAGAUCGGAUCAUGCUGUCACCAGAAUGGGCUUGGUAUUUUUUUCCAGCAAGUGUCUUGGUUUGUGUGAGGACAGAUGAUGGUGUCACGCCCACGCUGGGUAUGACAGGGGAGAGGAGUCCACAGGGGGAGCCGGGGGACUGGCCGCUUCCUCAAAGCCUGGACCCAUAGGAGGCGUUCCCUGGCGUCCACCAGCCUCUCUGAGCAACCGCCUGCCCGCAGCCGGCAGGAAUCGUCCUGGCCUGUAAGUGCAUGAAUUUCCCUGGGCUGCCAUAACAAACACCACAGCCAGGGACUUAAGCUACAAGAAUCAUUCUCUCCCUCUGGAGGCCAGAAGGCUGCGAUCAAGGCGUGGGCAAGGCUGGUUCCUUCCCAGGGCAGUGAGGGGGCACCUGGUCCAGGCUGCGCUCCUCGGCUUGUAGCUGGCAACUUCUCUCUGUGUUUCUUCACCUCGUCUUCUCUCAGGGCCUGUGUCCAAAUUUCCCCCUUUUAUAAAGACCCUGGUCAUAUCGGAUUACAGCCCACCCUAAUGACCUCAUCUUACUUUGAUCACCUCCCUGUCACCAAAUAAAGUCACAUUCAGAAGUACAGGGGGUUAUGACCAAAUAAAGUCACAUUCAGAGGUACAGGGGUUAUGACUUGGGGGAGUUCGUAUGAUAGCUUCCCCCAUGUCAGGGAGUGGACAGCGGGCUGGUUGGGUGGAUGACGGAGCUGGGUACAGAAAGCUUUGGUGGGGGUGACCCAGAUGGCAGGUGCAAGCAAGUGUGGGCAAUAGUGGCCCCCACCCUCAUGACCACAGGACCCCAACUCUUUUUUUUUUUUUUGAGACAGAGUCUUGCUCUGUCGCCCAGGCUGGAGUGCAGUGGUGCGAUCUUGGCUCACUGCAACCUCCACCUCCCGGGUUCAAGCGACUCUCCUGCCUCAGCCUCCUGAGUAGCUAGGAUUACAGGCAUGCGCCGCCACUCCUGGCUAAUUUUUGUAUUUUUAGUAGAGACGAGGUUUCACCAUGUUGGCCAGGCUGGUUUUGAACUCCUAACCUCAAGUGAUCCACCUGCCUUGGCAUCCCAAAGUGCUGGGAUUAUAGGCGUGAGCCACCGCACCCAACCUCUUUCUCUAAUCCCAGUCUUCUGGACUUGGAGUCACCGUGGGCAUCUAUGGGGCAGGCAGCCUGUGGGGGUGAACACAGUGAUUCAUGCUGUCUGCCCCAAUAUGCCAACAGCGCCCUGGG
rnacentral:lncRNA from 1 species